AUCAUUACAGAAAGCUGUAUACCUGCACAAGUGGUGGCUGCCAUUGAUGUCAACACUGUCGCUAAUGAAGUAUACAAGUAUAAUUUUCCUCACACACAGUUACUUGCCAAGACGAUUGAGAUUGGCCGGCAGGGUGAUAUGACUGAUUCAAGGACGAAUAGCUUCUUACAUAUUCUAGAUAUUCUCCCAAAGACCUCUUGAUACAAACAAUAGAAAAUUGUGGCUUUCAGUACCAAGAGUUUCUAUUAUCUCCAACCUCCUUGGCAUUCCAAAUUCAAGGCUACGAUAUUUUCUUAUUGCAAAGCUUCAGUCAGAGCCAUUACCCUUUCAAGCCC
rnacentral:lncRNA from 1 species